CUCCCUCACAUCCCCCUCACACCUCCCAGAGCCCUUCUCAUCCCCUCACAGGAUCACAGAAUGGUUCAGGAAGGACAAUUUCAGACUGUCAGAAGGGCAUCCCUAAAGGGGCAGCUAGAGGGCACAGACCUGCAAUAAUGAGUGCAACUGUCUCUCCUUCCCUAAAAGGGGAAAAAAAAAAAGACUGAAAUAAAGAACUGAAAUCUUCUCUCAGCUUUGGCUGUGCUCCCACAGCAUGGACAAGCAACUUCCAUCACCAAUUUCAGACAGUCUGGACUUGGGAGCCCAGUCCGAUCCAAGCAGCAGUGGGGCAAUACUAGAGUAGGAGAAUAGAAAGUCCGUGGUCUGGGAAGGCACAGAGGUAAACCAGAGAAGAGGAAAAGACAGGAGCCUGAGGCCAGAGAGAAGAGAAGGCUGAUAAGGAGCUGCAGCCCAUACAGCAGACACAGGCCAGGCAAACAAAUGCCUUUUCCAGGAAAUGAUCACAGAGUGUCCAAGAGGGAACUUACCUCAUCCAAAGGCUUUGUAUCAGACGGUCCUGACCUGAGCCUUUGAGACAUAAGCCUGAUGGCUGAGGUCUAAAGGAGAAAGCAAACCUCAUGCAGAAAGCUCUAAAAGGAUGGCAGCCUGCAAAGAGGAAGCAAACAGCUGAAGUCUGAAUGUAGGGAAAAGAUGUAAGGAAAUGGAUUAACAGUUAUGUGCAAGGCAGGCAUCUGAAAGACACUGGAUUUACAUUUAAGCUUUUCAUAUUUGGAGAAUUUCUGUUUAGAAAAAAAAAAAAAACAGACAUGUGUAAAGGGAGGAAAUACACAGUUACUAUAACACAAAAUAACCCUGAGCCAAUUCACCAAGCCAAAACAGCCCUGGAGGGACUGGUCUGUCUGGUCUUUCACAGAUUGUAGCUUUAGGGCAUGAAACACAC